UCUAUUCACGACUGUAAGUCGCUCUGGAUAAGAGCGUCUUCUAAAUGACUAAAA
rfam:Salmo salar isolate Sally breed double haploid chromosome ssa10, whole genome shotgun sequence.